rnacentral:rRNA from 1 species
AUUGAACGCUGGCGGCAGGCUUAACACAUGCAAGUCGAGCGAGCGGCGGACGGGUGUGUAAUGUCUGGGAAACCGUGCGUUGUAGAGGGAUAACACUUGGAAAAGGUGGCUCAUAUCGCACACCAUCAGAUGUGCCCAGAUGGGAUUAGCUAGUAGGUGGGGUAAAGGCUCACCUAGGCGACGAUCCCUAGCUGGUCUGAGAGGAUGACCAGCCACACUGGAACUGAGACACGGUCCAGACUCCUACGGGAGGCAACAGUGGGGAAUAUUGCACAAUGGGCGCAAGCCUGAUGCAGCCAUGCCGCGUGUGUGAAGAAGGCCUUCGGGUUGUAAAGCACUUUGAGCGAGGAGGCGUUACCCGCAGAAGAAGCACCGGCUAACUCCGUGCCAGCAGCCGCGGUAAUAC